rnacentral:misc_RNA from 1 species
AUGCAUCUCAUCAAACUCCAAAAGAAUAUUAGAAAAAUGAGCUCUUAAUUUACUAGGUGCCUCAAGAGGAUGAUGAAGUCCUGGUCUUGUAUCGAUACAGAAUCCGCUUCUUCUUAAAUGCUCCAUUUUCAAUGGUAAUCACUACCUUUCCAGGUUCUUUAUUAGUGAAAGAAUUGCGAACGGUACCAUCCUGCCAAGUUAUCCUCCUUCCCUUUUGAACGAUUAUGGUAUAUGAACCCUCAUCAGUGGGGACAAAUUCCUCCUUGUAGUUCACUUCCCAACCAGACACUGUCAGGUCCCAUAUUAAAGUGUUUCCUGCCUCUGGUGCGGGGAUCUCGAUAGUUUCUUGUGAUCCUGCCUUCACAAUAGCCUCUUUUGCAUCAUCUUCAACUGAGAAUUCAGAAUCAUUCUCUCGUUUAAGCCCACCAUACUGGACUGGAAUUUGGGACGCAGCAAUGUACUUGAGCAGGGUGUCUGUGACCUUGGCUGAGCGAGCGUAGACGAAUUUGUUCUUGGUUCUUUGAGAUAAGGAAGGCGAGAAGAGAGCACUAUACGCGUAAUACCAAAAGGGAACAUUGAUAAAGAUAUUUUUUGCAACAAAUUCAGGAUAAUUGUCCUGAAGAAGUUCAACUCCUUUCUUUGUUGCAUUCCGGAGCUCUUUCUUAGUUGGUAAAGGAGUGUUCUUGAGAUCAUUAAUUUGCAGAAUUGCAGACGCACCACCGGGCUUAAAAUCCAGCUUUUGAAUACCCUUCUCCAUCAGUUGAAUCCUCCCCCUCAUAAAUUUCACGCGUUUCUCUUCAAAUGCUUUCCCAUAUAGCUCAUCAUUGCCAAACACGGCAAAAAUAUUGAAACAUAUUGGGUGGCCAUCGCGAUCAUUGCCUUGCAUGUAAGCCAUGGAGCCAAGAUUAGCCUCAAUAUCCGCUUCCAAGAUUGAAUCGAUCUUGUUUUCUUUUCUCCAUUUGAGAAUGUUCCUCAACAUCUCAAAAGCAUCAGUGGUCUUGAACUCUCUAGCCCUUAACAACUUCAAUAGUACUGUAUCGGUUCUGUCAUCUCCUUUGCUGGGCAAUAAUGGAACUCCCCAAAGUGAAAUAUCUUUGUCUACAGUUUGAUCUGCGACACCUUCUUGCUGGGCGUUUUCUUUUGCUUCUUCUUCUUCUUCCUUUUCAGAAGUCUGCUCCUCCUUUUCCACUUGUUUAUCAGUAAUGUCUUCCUUGCUUUCUUUUGCAGCUAUUUCUUUUUCUUCGGUGUUCGUUUUCGCAGGAGUUUCUUCUUCUUUCCCUUCAUUUGAUGGAGUCGCCCCUUCUCUUUCCCCUUCUACCUGCUUUGGUUGUUCCUUCUUUUCAGAAUCAUCUUCUUUCUUGUCUGUUCCGGUUGAUUUUUCCUUCUGAACCUUUUCUUCUCCAUCUUUUGUCGAUGAUAUUUCCUUUUCUUGCUGUUUCUUCUCUUGAAAAAGUUCAUUUUUAAGGAUCGCUUCUUCAAUCUUGGAUCUCAGCUCAGACAAUGCCUUCUUUUCAUGCUCUUUCAAAUCAGAGAGGAGGUCGCUCUGUUCCCUGAAUGAAGAACUCUUCUGAAUUCCACUUGGUGAUGUAUCAUUCUCUUCUUUAUCUGCUACCUUUCUCUCAUCAACCACCGCAAUCUCCUUUGUUUUUUGCUCAUCUUCGUGCUUUGAUUCACUCAUCUUCUCUUCAUCUUUGGCAUUCUCUGUUUCCAUAGCUUUCUUACUGACACACUUAGAUGGUUCUUUCUCUUGUGGAAUUUGGGCAGUGUUUUCUUCCAUCUGUGCCUCUUGAGUGGCCAUAAUAAAAAAAAAAAAAAUUUGGUGUAAGAUGCUGAGG